GACGAACGCUGGCGGCGUGCCUAAUACAUGCAAGUCGAACGAGAGCGACCGGUGCUUGCACUGGUCAAUCUAGUGGCGAACGGGUGAGUAACACGUGGGUAACCUGCCCAUCAGAGGGGGAUAACAUCCGGAAACGGAUGCUAAAACCGCAUAGGUCUUCGAACCGCAUGGUUUGAAGAGGAAAAGAGGCGCAAGCUUCUGCUGAUGGAUGGACCCGCGGUGCAUUAGCUAGUUGGUGAGGUAACGGCUCACCAAGGCCGUGAUGCAUAGCCGACCUGAGAGGGUGAUCGGCCACAUUGGGACUGAGACACGGCCCAAACUCCUACGGAGGCAGCAGUAGGGAAUCUUCCGCAAUGGACGCAAGUCUGACGGAGCAACGCCGCGUGAGUGAAGAAGGUUUUCGGAUCGUAAAACUCUGUUGUUAGAGAAGAACAAGUGCUAGAGUAACUGUUAGCGCCUUGACGGUAUCUAACCAGAAAGCCACGGCUAACUACGUG
rnacentral:rRNA from 1 species